rnacentral:rRNA from 1 species
AUUGAACGCUGGCGGCAGGCUUAACACAUGCAAGUCGAGCGCGCGGCGGACGGGUGAGUAAUGUCUGGGAAACUGCCUGAUGGAGGGGGAUAACUACUGGAAACGGUAGCUAAUACCGCAUACCAUCAGAUGUGCCCAGAUGGGAUUAGCUAGUAGGUGGGGUAAUGGCUCACCUAGGCGACGAUCCCUAGCUGGUCUGAGAGGAUGACCAGCCACACUGAAACUGAGACACGGUCCAGACUCGUAGGGGAGGCAGCAGUGGGGAAGAUUGCACAAUGGGCGCAAGCCGGAUGCAGCCAUGCUGCGUGUGUGAAAAAGGCUUUCGGGUUGUAAAGCACUUUCAGCGAGGAGGCGUUACUCGCAGAAGAAGCACCGGCUAACUCCGGGCCAGCAGCCGCGGUAAUUC